rnacentral:ncRNA from 1 species
CCCUGUAGGCACGGGAGUCCCGGGUAACCAGCGGGACUGAGAGUGGACACCGCCAUUGUGCAAGCCAACUUGCCAGCCGAUCUGCAAGCCAGCUUGCACCUUGGACCUGUCCUGACCGUCACACCUGAUCCGGGUCAUGCCGGCGAAGGGAGCAAGGAUGUCAGCACC